AGGUGCUCGUCCUUGUCUCCGCCAUAGCCCGCCGCCGUAGCUUACUUAUGCCAGUGCGAGCCACAGCAGCUCACCGCCCUGGCUCCCCCACGCCUGCGCCAACAACCGCAGCUCGCCGCAGCCCGCCGUUGGUAGCCCAAGCCUGCGCGCGCCGGCGGAGCUCGCCGUCGCCUCGCUUAUGCCUGCUCGAGCUCUCGUAGCUCGUCGACGGUGCUCGUCCAAGUCUGCACGAGCGGGCAUAGCUCAUCCUCGCCUCUCUGAUGCCUGCGCGAGCCGCCGUAGCUCGCCGCCCAGGCCCUGCGCGAGCAACCACAGCUCGCCCUCGCCUGCGUGCUGGCGGAGCUCGCCGCACGGCAUGCUAGAGAGGUGCGCCAGCGACUUCGUGUCCCUGAACACCAGCACCAUGGCAACAUCAACUGGAGGCCCUUUUGAUGGUCCGUGAGGAGGAGACGAACGCGUGUGCAGGUGCUGAAAAUGUAGAAUGCAAGCAACCU
rnacentral:rRNA from 1 species